rnacentral:rRNA from 1 species
UGGGGAAUAUUGGACAAUGGGCGAAAGCCUGAUCCAGCCAUGCCGCGUGUGUGAAGAAGGUCUUCGGAUUGUAAAGCACUUUAAGUUGGGAGGAAGGGCUGCAAGUUAAUACCUUGUAGUUUUGACGUUACCAACAGAAUAAGCACCGGCUAACUUCGUGCCAGCAGCCGCGGUAAUACGAAGGGUGCAAGCGUUAAUCGGAAUUACUGGGCGUAAAGCGCGCGUAGGUGGUUUGGUAAGAUGGAUGUGAAAUCCCCGGGCUCAACCUGGGAAUUGCAUGCAUAACUGCCUGACUAGAGUACGGUAGAGGGUGGUGGAAUUUCCCGUGUAGCGGUGAAAUGCGUAGAUAUAGGAAGGAACACCAGUGGCGAAGGCGAUCACCUGGACUGAUACUGACACUGAGGUGCGAAAGCGUGG